rnacentral:lncRNA from 1 species
GGGAAGGUGGCCAGCUUCUUGUUUCUGCCCUUCCCACGCGGAGGCGGAACCUUGGGCUAGCUCACUUGGCCCGGUAUUACCGAUUUUUUUUCCCAUUAGGCGGAUCAAGCGCGGCCCCUGGCGAACCUUAAAAGGAGCAGCGGGCGGCUACUUUUCGCUACAACCCGGAGUGAGGCUUGCGGGAACUACUAGACCCAGUGUGCAGCGGGGCUCAGCUCCCGACAUGCGCGGCGGCGAGUUCCCGCCGAGCCACAGCUCGCGGCCGGCGUCUCAGCGCUCCGCGGGGCUCGGUCCCUCCUCCCGCCGCCUUCGGGCUAGCCGAGCACCGGGGGGGGCCUGCUCGGGGAGGCUAAAAUAAAGCACUCCAGGGAAAUCGAUGUCUUCUUGAACUACAGCAGUAUUGCAGAGGACUGGGAGAUCAUCUAAGAUCCCCCGACACGAAGAGGUUCUGACCACUCGAAUCAAGCCAGGGAGCCGUGAAUUCUGAGAACCAUUUGGGAAUGGUUUUGUUGUCAUUCUUUAAAUCCUUAGAUUAAGCAGUUUAGUCUUGUAAAAAAAAAAAAAAAUCAGUCAUUGUUAAGAACUAAAUGUUAUUGAUUUUUAUGUAAACCUACUGCUUCCCCCCCUCCUCACAAAUUUGAAUUAGCUAGUCUUUAUUGAAGGAGUAAAAUAAUGAAAGAUGCCUUGUUGUUUGUUGAUUGAGUUUAGACACUGAAUCCCCUAUUAAUUCACUUAUUAAUUCACUUCUACUUGAAGUGAUCUGCAGGCAGAUAUGACACUUAGAAACUAUAAAUGAGAAAAAUCAGUGAUGCAGAAUAUCUAUAGAGUACUUCUUCCAGGAACAUAAUGCAAGACAAAACAAAGCAAGGAUCAGUAUGAGAUAGGAGACCUUUUAUAGCAUUAUUUUCAUCUUUCAUAAUCCUGUUGAACAGUCUGAAAGAAGCAAAGAAAAAAAGAUCCAAACAAUGGCAUUUCAACUGGCACUAGUGUAAAUCUAUAAAACAGUCCAAUGUGAUAAUACAUGUGUGAAUGAAUUAUUUUGGACAUACUUCUAUUGAGAUAUUUAUAAAAGCUAAUAUAAGGCUUAUUCUUGC